CUCAGGACAAAUGGGUAUAAACAUUGGACCAGACUCAUGGUCCCUGCCUCAAAGAGAUCACCUCUCUGGGUUGACACAGGCCACGGACUUUGCACCCCAUCCUCCGGAGAGAGUGAGUGUCUCUACCAAAGUCUUGAAGUUUCUCCUAAACCCAGGCUUGGGAUGCCCAUUCACCUUACCCCGUGAGAAGACCUGCCACUACAUGGAUCAGAUCCCAGAGACCACACAGUGAAUGGAGAAGGAAGAGUGGAAGACCAAGGUGGGGAACACAAGAUUUCUCAGAUUGAGCUGUGGGAGAAAGAAUAGUUUGAAUUGAA